UCAAAGCUUGUUUUGCUUCACAGGUGAGAGUCCUCAGCCCUGGUUUUAAGGUGGGCUGUGAAUCUGGUGGGUCUCUGACAGCCUUUUGGUGUGGAAGCUUCAUUCCUGUCACACAUCUCCGAAGGGCUCUGCUGGAAUCUCCUGGGUUUUUCCUUGUGGGUGAAGACCUCAAGGAGCCUGAAGACGGGACUUGCAGCGCAGUUGUACCAGCAACCUCUUUUGGUGAACGAGCCCAUGCUGGUCACCACCGACUUCUUCCCCAUCCCCAUCAGGAAAUUGAUGGGAGACUGACGUGAGGCUGGAAACAGGACGCUCCCUGAGUUGCCUCCUCCAUCAUGCCACAAGGGCUGUUGAAACAGAACUGAAUGAAACUUCACCUCCCAGGGAGAAGCAGUAAAUCUCAUGCUGCCUGGCCUUGGAGGCAGAAGAUGAAGCCCAAGCAUCAUGUGGGUGGGAAAAUACAAGGACUCCUACGAACAUCAAGGAAGACAUCCGCAGCUGGUGUAAGCCACAAAUCCAGCUAUGCCUGAUCCUACCCAAGGUCCCGUACAGCCAAAAAGAGGCUUUAAAAUAUCCCGGGGAGGAAGCAGCGAUAGAGCUUGCUGUGUCCAAGUCCAUGCAUUAUGUAUUUCUCACCGGAGUUUGCAUGAGAUCAAUGAGGCUGCGUCCGUCGACAGCCUGCUCUUUGAUGAACGCUGUGCUGAAGUCUGGGCACGGCAGCACUGGCUGGUGGUGGGAGCGCAGGUUGGGCAGGGCACAGCUUUAAGGCAGAAGGAGCAGAGGGAGAGGAGGAAGAGGAUGCACCCUAAAGCUUGGGGCAGUCACCACUGCGAAUUCCUUGCAGCCUGGCUGUUGUGAUGCUUCCCUGGGUUAAGGCGCAGAGCUGUGUCGCUGCCACUUAUGAACUCUUCACUCUUAUUUAUGCACUCUUCCCUACAUGCUCUUAUUUAUACACACAAAUAAAAGCUGGGCGGUCACCCACUGCAUUAUGAAAAAUCCUGCCAUGCCCAUUUUACCUGAUUUAGUGUGUGCUAAGUAAUUUUCAGAAGAUAGCUUUAGGACUGCUUCACAUCUCUCUUUUUGAGAAAUGCAGCACUUCCCUGGACCACAGCAAACCGUCUUCCCUCCAGCUUCCCUUUUGCCAGAGGGAAUGAAUUUCAGAGCUUUUUUUCAGCUCAUUAUUCUAAGCAUUUCCCGUUACAUGUCUGAUUAACGUUUCACAGGCUGUGUUGUGGUAUAAUAUCUGCUUCUGACGUGGGCUGCUGCGGCAGGCAGAAGAGAAAUCCAUUGCGUUUUAGAUGGAGAUAACAGUUUAAUCUGAUCUGCACUUGGAAAAGAAAAAUCUCUCGGGGGAAAACCCAGAUCCCUGGAGGCAGUGUGCGAGGCCAAGGCACUGCUGGCUCCCAUAACCAUCCCUGCAGAGAGGUGACCUAUUCUCACAGAAAGCACUAGGAGGUCUUAAGUUUUUCAAGCUGACUUUAAGCCUGCAGUAAGACCCGUGAGCAGGCUCUGUGCCAUAAAAGACGAGAGAAAUUGAAGCUUUCCCUGGCUUUGUGGAGGACUUGAUGCUCAACAUGGAAAAACCUCUGGGAGUUUGCAAAUGCUGCAGGAGGAGCAGCAGAAGUCUGUUGUGCUUGAGGGGAAAAAUCAGCCUGUGGUCUGAAAACAGGGCAAGGACCCUGCUUGGUCAGGGGAAGGACUCUCCCCUGUACACCACAUCGAGUGCUCACUCUGCUCGUCUUAAGUGCUACCACAGCUAUGACAGCCUUGAAACCUCAAAGUCGGAUUUGGUUUUAAGAUGAAGUUAGCCAAGAGCAGCAAACAGAUCUGUUCAUUUUAAGCCCAUUCCUUUUUUUGUUUUUGUUUUUCCUACUGACUGUAGUUGCAUAGAAAAUCUAAACCAAAAAAAUAAAGUUUCUGAUUAAUCGUUUCUUAUGUUUGAAGAAGAAAGGCUUUGGUUUUGAAUUUUUCUGAAAACAGAGUCCUUCCAUGCUGGGCAAAGAGAGUUACCCAGCAACAAGGCAGGGGAAAAUAAAGGGAAAAGGAGAUGAGGGGGAAAACACAGAGCCUGUGUUCUUCCUGAUGUCCUUGGUAGGCUCAGCGUGCAGAUGCAAGGGUGGGUGUCCUGAACUGGUGCAUCUCCUGGGGCAUCAGCCACUGCCCAUCCUCCUCUCCUCUGGAUACUGGUGUGCAACAAGCCCAGUCCUUGGCAAAGUUUGGGGACAGUCUCCAGCCAUCCAUGGAUGUUCUUGCUCCGUGGAAAGGCGCCUGCUCCAAGAGACUCAGAACAGGACAUUGUUCAGACCUUCCAUAGCAUCAUUUGCUUGUUCUGGACAGUUUGUUCCAGCUAUACCCUGGCUCUUUAAAGAGUUCAGCAAAAUCUGGCUUUGAAAUGCCACAUGUUGGAACAUCUAGACUGAAGCUGUGGUGGAGCAUCUGAGGGUCAAUUACACUCCCUGCAUAAAAAGCACUAAGGGGCAUCCUGUCCUUAAUCUUCUUUAUGGUUUUGCCUGCUUUAAAAGCUCCAUAUAUAAACAAACCUUUAAACAAAUAGACUUGGAAGUAUAAUCUCCUCACAUAGAUUCUUACAAAAUUGUGUUCAAACCAUCUCAAUCUUCAGGACAAACUAAAUGGAUUGAAACCAUUACGUUUCUCCGUCUAAAGUGGCUUUUAGAGAUGACCCUUCUAUGAGCUCUCCUGUUUUUUCUACUUGUGCUUUUAGAUGUGUAGGCAAAUCAGUAAGUGCCAAUACCAGCCUCAGCUGGUAAGCUAAGCCUCUCUGCUUAGCUUUUUCCUUUUUAUUCAUCAAAGGAUCUCACCAGUCCAUUUGUGCACAGCAUCAAACUCCUCAUGAGCACUCAUGAUUCCUCUGACAGUGCCUUCAUCCACAACUGCACAGGACUUUAGGAGAAUUACACUGUGUUUGCUACCUGGCUGAUCAGAACAGUCCUCCAUCAUUAAUAAAGUCCUCUAUGAUCAAUACUCCACUGAAUCAUGAGUGGGAUAUUUCUAGAGGGAUAAAUUUCUAAAAGCUUGGGGCUAACCUAUGCUCUCACUCAAGUACCAGCUGGAAGCUGGGAGCUUCUUGUUCCUGACCAGGACAAAGUGCUGUGUCUACCCUUCUACUUUUUUUUGCAAUAGAGAAGUUGUAGCUGAGCCAUGGUUGAGAGAGGGGUCGGGCGCGUGAUUUAUGAUAUAAGUAUAGUUCAUUGUAACUCAAGAUGGCAGCUGCAUAAGCCAAACAUAACUCACCUUUCCAUCUGGUGGCUGCUGGGAGUGCUAUUUAAAGAGGGAGAGAUUGCAACAGAAGAAAAGAAAUGGAUGCAAAGAAACAAAAACCUCUGUGAGGUACUGUGCCAGCACAGAGAUAUGGGGAUGAUGGAAAGCACUGCAUUUCCUUUGGGUCUGUUCCUUGGGAAGCUUUACUCUGAAUUUCUUUGUGUUGCAUCCAUCUGUUCUCUCAAGAACCUCCCAUUUUGUAGUUGCAGCCAGCAGUAGCAUCCCCCAAGCCUUCUUCUCUGAGCAGACACUGUGCUCUUGGCCUCUCCUUGCCUGUCAUAUGCUCUGUCCACCUCAAAGUCUUGCUGGCCUCCACUGGACUCACUCCAGAAUAUUCACAGUCUUCUUGUGCUGCUCCUUUUUCUUAUGUGUCCAGUGCAGAAAGAACAGGCUCUCUGAGCCUUGCUGCUAUGCAGCCAGGCCUGGUUUGGAGACAAAAGGCUUUCCUGAGAGCCUGUCUCUGACUGCUGCUCCUUAUUAUUGUGCUUUCUUGUGUUUGAGCCAGUAUCCAUGAUCAACCAAGCCUAAGGAGAGGAAAAUCAUUACAGUGCACCAGUUCCUCCUCUCUUUUACCUAGUGAAGAAAAAAAUCAUGCUGGCAGCAGACCUGGAAGCAGUGUGUUGUGUACUUUUAGCAAACACAUCAGCUCAGUCCUUCCCUGAGCAUCCCAAGGCAGAUGGCCAAACAAAGGACUUCCAGGCUCUGCAGGGACAGGGUUCACAGAGUCCCCUCAGUAGGACCUUCGUGGGGACAGGACAGCAGCAGGACAGAAGCACAGGCUGCUGGGUCACUAACCUGCCUGGAUCUGGGUCACAGCCUGUGGCUGGCUGUGCAAGGAUGCCAGUGAACAGCCUGGGUUAAAUACCCCAGAAACAGCCUUGGUGCAGAGCAUGCAGCUUUAUCCAAGGGGUCUUUCAGCAGGAAAUGAAGCCACCAUGGCUCCUCCCCCCAACCACGCUCUCCCAGGCUGUGUCUCCUGCAUUUUUUCCCUUGCUGGUCCCCCACACCCAUUUUUUCCUCUUCCUCCCUCCCAAAAGGGCAGGUAACACCCUCCCUUUAUGUUUAUUUAUUUCCUUUGCUUGGCCUCAGUCACUUUCCUGGGAUCCACCACCUGCAAAGCUCGGUGUCAGAGUACUGGGUACUCACCAGUACUACCUGACAGAAGAUCUCAUCUCCAACUCCUUUCAGCAUGUGUGCACCUCCUCCUUUUCCAAGCCUGCCUGAUAGCCUCAGUCCCAUGGAACAGGCUAAGCAUUUGUGUGGAAGCUAUAUGCAACCGAAAACUCAUCAUUAGCCUAAUUAGCCAUUAAGGAUGCUAAAGCAUGCAAAGUACAUUAAAAACCUCUUCUUAAACAGCAAAGUCACCCCAUGGCUUUUAGGGUCAGUGCAAAUUGAGAUGUAUGGCAUUAGUGCAGCUGCAGAGCACCAGCAAGUUCUGCCCUCUCCUUCCCAUAGCAGGACCUUUGACCUGUGAAGCUGCAAAAUGGCUUUGAACUUUUACAGCAACCUGCCUGGCCAAAGAGAUUUAUUUGUUCCUUUCUACAGGUGACAGCAGUUAGAUGUAGUGUACAAUGUAAGGGAAAUGUAAGAAGCAUCACCUGCAGCACAGCUCCAGCUGAAGGUGUGCCAAGGGUCACAGAGCCUGUACUCCUGCCCCAGACAGGUUCUCAGUGAGCAUCAUGCUGCUGGGGGUGUCUGUGAUCCCCUGAGGGCAGGAGGUGAGCUCAGGGCAAAAUCUGGGAUGCCCACAUCAUAAGAAGCAGGAUGCAGAGCAGGCAUGGAUGUUAGGGGGUCUGUGGGAUGCCCACACUCCCUGGGAAAUACCAGGUUUGAAGCCUAGCAGGCAGGUAGAACUUUACCUCCCUCCUGGAGGCUCAGCCUUUGUGCACAGUGCUGGACAGCCGAUAUCAGCCUGUUUCAAGCCUGCCCCCAGGCUUUCAGAGCCAGAGUGACCUGAGUGAGGCCUUCAUGACUUCUCCCAGCACGAGAUAAAAGUGGUUUAUUGCGCAGCGCUAACAAUGUGAUUUGUUCACACAUUACCCAGGGGUGGCACAAUCUGUACUGGUUAAAGGGAAAUGUUAAACCUGUCACUUCAGCAGGAGAUAUUCGAAUGUGCUAAAUGGGUCCUGCUGUUAAAACAAAUAUUCCCAACCUAAAUUUAUGAAGUACUGUAAAGGGACAGAUAUUGGAAUGCUGCAGCAUCCAGAGCCUCCCUCUCACCGGCAGCUACAGCAUCAAGGUGCUGGUGUGUGACUGAGGCUCCUUUUGUGCAGACACAGAAAUUCCUGUGCAAGGCAACAAGUGCACUGGCAGGGAAGGUGGUGUUCCCAGAGGCUCUUAACAGUGGCCAAAAGAGCCUAUUUAGUUGCCAUCCAGCUGGGCUCUAACAGCACCUGUGGGAGUGCAGGUGCCACCUGCCCAGCACUGGGUUGAAAAGCACACCCAGGGCUGAGGGGCACAGGGAAGGGGAGGACAUCAUGGGUUCGGUUCUCAUCUUGCAAGGACACCACAGCAGAGGUUUGUGGUGUGGGGCAGGUUGUUUUGAUGCACUGCACGUUCCUGCUGUAGCCGGGAGAUGCUCUCCGAGACAGGGGAUGUCUUUGUCUGCAUCACGAAAAAGGCCCAGAGGAGUCUCCUAGCAAAAGGGAGAGCUUCUUAUCGCCUCUGCUCAAAGCAUUCUGCAGGGAACUGGACUUCCAGAAAUUACCUUCUUUUCACUGAACACACGAAUGGGGAGGGAUUCCCAAAAUUUCUUGUUCUUUUCCAUCUCUUCCACACUGUUAUUCUCAGCUGGCCACUUCCAUGGGAAAAAAACCCCAUGUGAACCAGUGUCAGAUGCUGGCACUGGCCUGGCCCUUGGUGCAUCUCUCUAAUAGGAGAGCAGAGAUGCAGCCUGGACCUUGCGUGUGCUCUGGCUUACCUUCUCCUCCCAGCUGUGGGGGGUUGCUGGCCUGUGGAGAUCUGAGCCUGCACAGGCUGUUUCCUCCCUCACAUGUCAGCUCAGCCGAGCUCUCGCAUUUAGCCCUCCCUGCCCGCCCGUUCACAGGUGCGAAGAGAGCUGUUGCCCUCCGUGCUGUCUGUGAGAGCAAUCCUGCCA